GACGAACGCUGGCGGCGUGCUUAACACAUGCAAGUCGAACGAUGAAGCCGGAGCUUGCUCUGGUGAAUUAGUGGCGAACGGGUGAGUAACACGUGAGUAACCUGCCCUUGACUCUGGGAUAACUGCUAGAAAUGGUAGCUAAUACCGGAUACGACCCUCGGAGGCAUCUCCAGGGGGUGGAAAGAAUUUCGGUCAAGGAUGGACUCGCGGCCUAUCAGCUAGUUGGUGAGGUAACGGCUCACCAAGGCGACGACGGGUAGCCGGCCUGAGAGGGUGAGCGGCCACACUGGGACUGAGACACGGCCCAGACUCCUACGGGAGGCAGCAGUGGGGAAUAUUGCACAAUGGGCGCAAGCCUGAUGCAGCAACACCGCGUGAGGGAUGACGGCCUUCGGGUUGUAAACCUCUUGUAGUAGGGAAGAAGCGAAAGUGACGGGACCUGCAGAAAAAGCACCGGCUAACUACGUGCCAGCCGCCGCGGUAAAAC
rnacentral:rRNA from 1 species